rnacentral:rRNA from 1 species
AGUUUGAUCAUGGCUCAGAUUGAACGCUGGCGGGAUGCUUUACACAUGCAAGUCGAACGGCAGCACGGACUUCGGUCUGGUGGCGAGUGGCGGAACGUGGGUGAGUAAUGUAUCGGAACGUGCCUAGUAGCGGGGGAUAACUACGCGAAAGCGUAGCUAAUACCGCACACAGGCCCUUCGGGGAAAGCGGGGGACCUUCAAGCCUCGCACUAUUAGAGCGGCCGGGAUAUCGGAUUAGCUAGGUUGGUGGGGUAACGGCUCACCAAGGCGACGAUCCGUAGCUGGUUUGAGAGGACGACCAGCCAAGGUACCGGGACUGGAGACACGGCCCAGACUCUACGGGAGGCAGCAGUGGGGAAUUUGGACAAUGGGGAAACUUCGAUCCAGCCAUCCUGCGUGCGAUGAAGGCCUUCGGGUUGUAAAGCACUUUUGGCAGGGAAAAGAAACGGCACGGGAUAAUACCCCGUGCAACUGACGGUACCUGCAGAAUAAGCACCGGCUAACUACGCCGCCAGCAGCCGCGGUAAUACGUAGGGUGCAAGCGUUAAUCGGAAUUACUGGGCGUAAAGCGUGCGCAGGCGGUUCGGAAAGAAAGAUGGAAAUCCCAGAGCUUAACUUUGGAACCGCAUUUAACUACCGGUGCCAGAGUGUGUCAGAGGGAGGUGGAAUUCCGGCGUGUAGCAGUGAAAUGCGUAUAUGCGGAGGAACACCGAUGGCGUAGCAGCCUCCUGGGAUAACACUGACGCUCAUGCACGAAAGCGUGGGGAGCAAAACAGGAUUAGAUAAUUCUGGUAGUCCACGCCCUAAACGAUGUCAACUAUUGUUGGGGCCUUCGGCCUUGGUAGCGCAGCUAAUCGCGAAGUUGACCGCCUGGGGAGUACGGUCGCAAGAUUAAAACUCAAAGGAAUUGACGGGGACCCGCACAAGCGGUGGAUGAUGUGGAUUAAUUCGAUGCAACGCGAAAACCUUACUCACCUUGACAUGUCAGGAAUCCGAAGAGAUUUGGAAACGUAAGAGAACCGAACAAUAGGUGCUGCAUGGCUGUCGUCAGUCAGGCCGAGAUGUUGGGUUAAGUCCUGCAACGUGCGCAACCCCUUGUCAUUAGUUGCUACGAAAGCGUACCAAUGAGGCCGCCGGUGACAAACCGGAGGAAGGUGGGAUGACGUUCAGUCCUCAUGGCCCUUGCAGGGUAGGCUUUCACACGUCAUACAAUGGUCGGGACAGAGGGUCGCCAACCCGCGAGGGGAGCCAAUCCCAGAAACCCGAUCGUAGUCCGGAUCGCAGUCUGCAACUCGACUGCGAAGUCGGAAUUGCCAGUAAUCGCGGAUCAGCAUGCCGCGGCGAAUACGUUCCCGGGUCUUGUACACACCGCCCGUCACACCAUGGGAGUGGGUUUUACCAGGCAGUUAGCCUAACCGUAAGGAGGGCGAUUACGGUAGGAUUCAUGACUGGGGUGAAGUCGUAACAAGGUAG